rnacentral:rRNA from 1 species
ACUGCAAGUCGAGCGAACAGAUAAGGAGCUUGCUCCUUUGACGUUAGCGGCGGACGGGUGAGUAACACGUGGGUAACCUACCUAUAAGACUGGGAUAACUUCGGGAAACCGGAGCUAAUACCGGAUAACAUUUGGAACCGCAUGGUUCUAAAGUGAAAGAUGGUUUUGCUAUCACUUAUAGAUGGACCCGCGCCGUAUUAGCUAGUUGGUAAGGUAAUGGCUUACCAAGGCGACGAUACGUAGCCGACCUGAGAGGGUGAUCGGCCACACUGGAACUGAGACACGGUCCAGACUCCUACGGGAGGCAGCAGUAGGGAAUCUUCCGCAAUGGGCGAAAGCCUGACGGAGCAACGCCGCGUGAGUGAUGAAGGGUUUCGGCUCGUAAAACUCUGUUAUUAGGGAAGAACAAACGUGUAAGUAACUAUGCACGUCUUGACGGUACCUAAUCAGAAAGCCACGGCUAACUACGUGCCAGCAGCCGCGGUAAUACGUAGGUGGCAAGCGUUAUCCGGAAUUAUUGGGCGUAAAGCGCGCGUAGGCGGUUUCUUAAGUCUGAUGUGAAAGCCCACGGCUCAACCGUGGAGGGUCAUUGGAAACUGGGAAACUUGAGUGCAGAAGAGGAAAGUGGAAUUCCAUGUGUAGCGGUGAAAUGCGCAGAGAUAUGGAGGAACACCAGUGGCGAAGGCGACUUUCUGGUCUGUAACUGACGCUGAUGUGCGAAAGCGUGGGGAUCAAACAGGAUUAGAUACCCUGGUAGUCCACGCCGUAAACGAUGAGUGCUAAGUGUUAGGGGGUUUCCGCCCCUUAGUGCUGCAGCUAACGCAUUAAGCACUCCGCCUGGGGAGUACGACCGCAAGGUUGAAACUCAAAGGAAUUGACGGGGACCCGCACAAGCGGUGGACAUGGGUUUAAUUCGAAGCAACGCGAAGAACCUUACCAAAUCUUGACUCCUUUGAAACUCUAGAGAUAGAGCCCCCUUCGGGGGAAAGUGACGGGAUGGGUCGUCAGCUCGGUCGGGAAGUUGGGUAAGUCCGAACGCACCCUCUCUACGGGACCGGAGAGAAG